CCCGGUAGCUCGUCAGGCUCAUAACCUGAAGGUCACAGGUUCAAAUCCUGUCCCCGCAA
rfam:Sphingomonas sp. Leaf33 contig_17, whole genome shotgun sequence.